CACCUGAUAGCACAAUGGUUAGUGCGUCUGCAAUUAUUAGUAUGCAUUUGAUCCGGUUUAUGCAAAAGACCCCCGUUCGAUUCGGGGUCGGGUGA